rnacentral:rRNA from 1 species
AUUGAACGCUGGCGGCAGGCUUAACACAUGCAAGUCGAACGAGUGGCGGACGGGUGAGUAAUGCUUGGGAAUCUGGCUAAUGGCGGGGGCUAACGACGGGAAACUGUCGCUAAUACCGCGUACCAUCGGAUGAGCCCAAGUGGGAUUAGGUAGUCGGUGGGGUAAAGGCGUACCAAGCCUCCGAUCCCUAGCUGGUCUGAGAGGAGGACCAGCCACACCGGGACGGAGACACGGCCCGGACUCCUACGGGAGGCAGCAUUGGGGAAUAUUGCGCAAUGGGGGCAACCUGACGCAGCCAGGCCGCGUGAAUGAAGAAGGCCUUCGGGUUGUAAAGUUCUUUCGGUGGCGAGGCGUUAAUCACAGAAGAAGCACCGGCUAACUCCGUGCGAGCAGCCGCGGUAAUUC